rnacentral:rRNA from 1 species
UGGGGGAUAUUGCACAAUGGGCGAAAGCCUGAUGCAGCGACGCCGCGUGGGGGAUGAAGGCCUUCGGGUUGUAAACUUCUUUUGCUCUGAACAAGGCGCACCAUGGGGUGUGUUGAGUGUAGGGGUUGAUUAGCGCCGGCUAACUACGUGCCAGCAGCCGCGGUAAUACGUAGGGCGCGAGCGUUGUCCGGAAUUAUUGGGCGUAAAGGGCUUGUAGGUGGCUGGUUGCGUCUGUCGUGAAAGCUCAUGGCUUAACUGUGGGUUUGCGGUGGGUACGGGCUGGCUUGAGUGCAGUAGGGGAGGCUGGAAUUCCUGGUGUAGCGGUGGAAUGCGCAGAUAUCAGGAGGAAUACCGGUGGCGAAGGCGGGUCUCUGGGCUGUUACUGGCACUGAGGAGCGAAAGCAUGGGGAGCGAACAGG